AUUGAACGCUGGCGGCAGGCCUAACACAUGCAAGUCGAACGAGUGGCGGACGGGUGAGUAAUGUCUGGGAAAAUGCCUGAUGGAGGGGGAUAAAUACUGGAAACGGUAGCUAAUAACGCAUACCAUCAGAUGUGCCCAGAUGGGAUUAGCUGGUUGGGGGGGUAACGGCUACCCAAGGCGACGAUCCCUAGCUGGUCUGAGAGGAUGCCCAGCCACACCGGAACUGACACACGGUCCAGACUCCUAUGGGAGGCACCAGUGGGGAAUAUUGCACAAUGGGCGCAAGCCUGAUGCAGCCAUGCCGCGGGUAUGAAGAAGGCCUUCGGUUUGUAAAGUACUUUCAGCGGGGAGGCGUUACCCGCAGAAGAAGCCCCGGCUAACUCCGUGCCAGCAGCCGCGGUAAUUC
rnacentral:rRNA from 1 species